rnacentral:rRNA from 1 species
UACAGAGGGUGCAAGCGUUGUUCGGAAUCACUGGGCGUAAAGAGUUCGUAGGCGGACUUCUUAGUACGAGGUUAAAGACCGGAGCCUAACUUCGGGAAUGCUUCGUAAACGGGGAGUCUAGAGUAUCAGAGGGGAUAGCGGAAUUCCUGGUGUAGAGGUGAAAUUCGUAGAGAUCAGGAGGAACACCUGUGGCGAAGGCGGCUAUCUGGCUGAGCACUGACGCUAAAGAACGAAAGCAUGGGGAUCAAACAGG